GAUGAACGCUGACAGAAUGCUUAACACAUGCAAGUCAACUUGAAUUUGGGUUUUUUAACUUCGAUUUGGGUGGCGGACGGGUGAGUAACGCGUAAAGAACUUGCCUCACAGCUAGGGACAACAUUUGGAAACGAAUGCUAAUACCUGAUAUUAUGAUUAUAAGGCAUCUUAGCAUUAUGAAAGCUAUAUGCGCUGUGAGAGAGCUUUGCGUCCCAUUAGCUAGUUGGAGAGGUAACGGCUCACCAAGGCGAUGAUGGGUAGCCGGCCUGAGAGGGUGAACGGCCACAAGGGGACUGAGACACGGCCCUUACUCCUACGGGAGGCAGCAGUGGGGAAUAUUGGACAAUGGACCAAGAGUCUGAUCCAGCAAUUCUGUGUGCACGAUGACGUUUUUCGGAAUGUAAAGUGCUUUCAGUUGGGAAGAAAAAAAUGACGGUACCAACAGAAGAAGUGACGGCUAAAUACGUG
rnacentral:rRNA from 1 species